rnacentral:rRNA from 1 species
UACAGAGGCCUCAAGCGUUAUCCGGAAUUACUGGGCGUAAAGGGUGUGUAGGUGGUCUAGUUAGUCUCUCGUUAAAUUCUUCGGCUUAACCGGGGGCAUGCGGGGGAAACGGCUAGACUUGAGGGUGCGAGAGGUGCAUGGAACUCAUGGAGUAGGGGUGAAAUCCGUUGAUAUCAUGAGGAACACCAAAAGCGAAGGCAGUGCACUGGCGCAUUUCUGACACUCAAACACGAAAGCGUGGGUAGCGAAUGGG